ensembl:lncRNA
CUGUUAGUAUAUAGAAAUGCAACUGAUUUUUGUAUAUUGAUUUUGUAUCCUGCAACUUUACCAAAUUUAUUAGUUUUAACACCUUUAUGGUGGCGUCUUUAGGAUUUUCUGUGUGUAUAUAUGAUCAUGUCAUUUGCAAACAUGGAUAAUUUUAGAUCUUAUUUUCCAAUUUGGAUGCCUUUUAUUUCUUUCUCUUGCCUAAAGUGCUCUACCUCUAACUUCUAGUACUAUGUUAAAUAGAAGUAGCAUAGCAGCCAUCUUUAUCUGUUACUCAUAUUAGAGGAAAAGCUUUCCAUUUUUUUACCAUUUAGUGUGAUGUUACCUGUGUGCUUAUCAUAUAUGGCUUCUGCUAUGUUGAGGUAAUUUCCUCCUAUUAAGAUUUUUUUUUUUGUCAAAUGCUUUUUGUGUAUCUAUUGAGAUGAUUCUAUAAUUUUUAUUCUAUAUUCUGGCCUUAUGGUGUGACAUGUUGAUUUGUAUAUGUUGAACCAUCCUUGCAUCCCACUUGGUUGUGAUUCAUGAUCCUUUUAAACAGCUGUUUAAUUUGGUUUGCUGGUAUUUUGUUUAGGAUUUUUGUAUCUGUAUUCAUCUGGGAUACUGGUCUGUAGUUUUCUUUUCUUGUUUGUUAUCAGGGUAAUUCUGGUACCUGGCUUUGGUAUCAGGGUGGCACUGACCUUGUAAAUGAAUUUGGAUAUGUAUACUUCUCUUUGAGUUUUGGGAAGAGUUUGAGACAGAUUGGCAUUUAUGUUUUUAUUUUGUCAUCUCUAUUUUUUUUCCUAGGUCAUCUAAGAGUUUGUCAAUUUUGUUUAUCUUUUCAUGAUAUCACCUCUUAGUUUUGUUGUUUUUUUUCACAUUGUUAAUCUGUUCUCUCUUUCGCUUAUGUUUUAAUCUUUUUUAUUCCCAUCAUUUUGAUAACUUUAGGCUUAAUUUGUUCUUCUUUUUAUAGCUUCCUGGUGUAUAAAGUUAGGUUGUUUGAGGUUUUUUUUCUUUUUUAAUAUAAGCAUUUAUGUCAACAAACUUCCUCUUUGUACUGCUUUUGUUGUCAGUCAGUUCAGUUGCUCAGUCAUCUGACUCUUUGCAACCCCAUGGACUGCAGCACGCCAGGCUUCCCUGCCCAUCAUCAACUCCUGCAGCGUACUCAAACUCAUGCCCAUCGAGCAUCCAACCAUCUCAUCCUCUUUCAUCCCCUUCUCUUGCCGCCUUCAAUCUUUCCUAGCAUCAGAGUCUUUUCCAGUGAGUUGACUCUUUCCAUCAAGUGGCCAAAGUGUUGGAGCUUCAGCUUCAACAUCAGUGCUUCCAAUAAAUAUUCAGGACUGAUCUUCUGAAUAUUUUGUUGUACCUCAUGUAUUUUGAUAUGUUGUGUUUUUGUUUAUCACAAGGUAUAUUACAAUUUCCUUUAAACCUAGUUGUUCAGGAUUAUUAUUGCUUAAUUUCCACAUUUGUUAAUUUUCCCAUUUAUCAUCUACUGUUGACUGCUAGUUUCAUUCCAUUGUGGGCAGAAAAGAUACUUGGUAUAAUUUCAGUCUUCUUAAACUUCUUAAAACAUGUUUUGUGACCUAAAUAUGAGCUUCCUGGAGAAUGUUCCAUGUGCACUUGAGAAGAAUGUGAAAUUCAUUGUUUUGGGGUGAAAUGUCUUUUUCUGUGUGCGCUUGAGAAAAAGGUGAAAUUCAUUGUUUUGGGGUGAAAUGUCCUAUAGAUAUCAAUUAGGUCUAACUGGUCUAUUGUAUCGUUUAAAGUUUGUGUUUCCUUGUUAAUUUUCUGUUUAGUUGAUUUAUCCAUAGGUGUGAGUAGGGUAUUAAAGUCUCCCACUAUUAUUGUGUUAUUGUUAAUUUCCCCUCUCAUUCUUGUUAACAUUUGUCUUACGUAUUGCAGUGCUCCUAUGCUGGGUACAUAUAUAUUUAUAAUUGUUAUAUCUUCUUCUUGGAUUGAUCCUUAGAUCAUUAUGUAGUGUCCUUUUUUUUUUUUUUUUUGUAGUGUCCUUCUUUGUCUCUUUUCACAGCCUUUGUUUUAAAGUCUAUUUUAUCUGAUAUGAGUAUUGCUACUCCUACUUUCUUUUGGUCUCUAUUUGCAUGGAAAAUAUUUUUCCAGCCCUUCAUUUUCAGUCUGUAUGUGUCCCCUGUUUUGAGGUGGGUCUCUUGUAGACAGCAUAUAUAGGGGUCUUGUUUUUGUAUCCAUUCAGCCAGUCUUUGUCUUUUGGUUGGGGCAUACCAUUUACGUUUAAGGUAAUUAUUGGUAAGUAUGAUCCAGUUGCCAUUUACUUUAUUGUUUUGGGUUCGAGUUUAUACAUCCUUUUUAUGUUUCCUGUCUAGAGAAUAUCCUUUAGCAUUUGUUGGAGAUCUGGUUUGGUGGUGCUGAAUUCUCUCAGGUUUUGCUUGUCUGUAAAGCUUUUGAUUUCUCCUUCAUAUUUGAAUGAGAUCCUUGCUGGGUACAGUAAUCUGGGCUGUAGGUUAUUUUCUUUCAUCACUUUAAGUAUGUCUUGCCAUUCCCUCCUGGCUUGAAGAGUUUCUGUUGAAAGAUCAGCUGUUAUCCUUAUGGGAAUCCUCUUGUGUGUUAUUUGUUGUUUUUUCCUUGCUGCUUUUAAUAUUUGUCCUUUGUGUUUGAUCUUUGUUAAUUUGAUUAAUAUGUGUCUUGGGAUGUUUCACCUUGGGUUUAUCCUGUUUGGGACUCUCUGGGUUUCUUGGACUUGGGUGAUUAUUUCCUUCCCCAUUUUAGGGAAGUUAUCUCUUCAAGUAUUUUCUCAUGGUCUUUCUUUUUGUCUUCUUCUUCUGGGACUCCUAUGAUUCAAAUGUUGGGGCAUUUAACACUGUCCUGGAGGUCUCUGAGAUUGUCCUCAUUUCUUUUAAUUCGUUUUUUUUUUCCCUCUCUGAUUCAUUUAUUUCUACCAUUCUAUCUUCUAAUUCACUAAUCCUGUCUUCUGCCUCUGUUAUUCUACUAUUUUUUGCCUCCAGAGUGUUUUUGAUCUCAUUUAUUGCAUUAUUCAUUAUAUAUUGAUUCUUUUUUAUUUCUUCUAGGUCCUUGUUAAACCUUUCUUGCAUCUUCUCAAUCCUUGUCUCCAGGCUGUUUAUCUGUGAUUCCAUUUUGAUUUCAAGAUUUUGGAUCAUUUUCACUAUCAUUAUUUGAAAUUCUUUAUCAGGUUGAUUCCCUAUCUCGUCCUCUUUUGUUUGGUUUGGUGGGCAUUUAUCCUGUUCCUUUACCUGCUGGGUAUUCCUCUGUCUCUUCAUCUUGUUUAUAUUGCUGAGUUUGGGGUGGCCUUUCUGUAUUCUGGCAGUUUGUGGAGUUCUCUUUAUUGUGGAGUUUCCUCGCUGUGGGUGGGGUGGUACAGGUGGCUUGUCAAGGUUUCUUGGUUAGGGAAGCUUGUAUCAGUGUUCUGGUGGGUGGAGCUGGAUUUCUUCUCUCUGGAGUGCAAUGAAGUGUCCAGUAAUGAGUUAUGAGAUGUCAGUGGUUUUGAAGUAACUUUGGGCAGCCUGUAUAUUGGAGCUCAGGGCUGUGUUCCUGUGUUGCUGGAGAAUUUGCGUGGUAUGUCUUGCUCUGGAACUUGUUGGUUCUUGGGUGGUGCUUGGUUUCAGUGUAGAUAUGGAGGCGUUUGAUGAGCUCCUGUCAAUUAAUGUUCCCUGGAGUCAGGAGUUCUCUGGUGUUCUCAGGGUUUGAACUUAAGCCUCCUGCUUCUGGUUUUCAGUCUUAUUUUUACAGUAGUCUCAAGACUUCUCCUUCUAUACAGCACCAUUGAUAAAACAUCUCCGUUUAAAGACAAUGGGCUGCUUUUCUGGGUGCCUGAUGUCCUCUGCCAGCAUUCAGAAGUUGUUUUGUGGCAUUUACUCAGCGUUUAAGUGUUCUUUUGAUGAAUUUGUCGGGGAGAAAGUGGUCUCCCCGUCCUAUUCCUCCACCAUCUUAGGACCGCCUCCUCAUUCUGGGUAAUUUCUUUAAAUCUGUCUUACAGUUGACCAACUCUCUUCUAUUGUGUUUACCUGCUGUUUAAUCCUUCCAGUGAUUUUUUAAAAUAACUAUAUCUUUAUA